UGACGUCAGCCGGGGGCGGGGGGGACACGUUUUACCCAGCCCCCCUGUCCCAGUCGCCGUCCCCCCUUCCCUUGGUGGCUCUCGCAGCCGGCUCCGCUCCCGGCUCGGCCGCUCUUCGCGGGAGCGCUCUGACAGCACCUGCAGGACAGCGCGGGCACUCGGAGCCGGGAAGGGGAAUAAGGUUCCCCUAAUGAGUCUGCUGUGGACCCUACUGCUGAUUCAGAAAGGGCAUCAAAGAGUGAUCAGCAGGCUUAGGCUGGAGGGAACCGAAACUUUCCUUCUGCUGCAGAACAUUCAGGCCAUGGGCAUUGUCCCCACACACUGCGUCCUCAGCCACUCCUCCCGUGGGCUGCCCCAGGGCACCUCGGAGGUUUUGGUGGGUUACAGGGAUCCCAUGUACAACAGGAAAAAAAGGAAACUAUCACUUGUUCCGAAGACUGUGCACAGGAUUUAUGAUAAUAAUCCAGACAAGACUUGCAUGUUUUCUGCUCCAUUCUUUGGGUCAAGAACACACUGGUUAAUAGCCAAUUAUUUCAUGCCCUAA
rnacentral:lncRNA from 1 species